GAUAAAAGAAAGAGAAGGAAGAGGAGAAGAAAGAAGAAUCAGACCUUUGGCUCAUGAUGACAAAAUGCACUACAAAUAUUAAAAAGGUGAUGAAUUACUUUGAUCUGACCUUCCCAACACCUACUUGGAUUCCAAAUAUUAACAAAUGUCUCUUCAUAUAAGUUAUGGGUAACUUGGGAAUUAGCUCCCAGGAUGCUACCAGCAAAAGCAUCAGGUCUCAUCCAAGGAGUCAGCUCCUCUCAUCCGAUGGCCAAACUGCUUUAAAAACAGCUGUGUAUCAUCACACAGGAUGAAGAGAAACACUUGUCUUACCAAGAGAAGUCUUUCACACCUAGUUAACAGACCAGCCAGAUCAUUUAAAAAAAAACUUGUAUUUCAUGUGUUAAUCUCACAAACUCUUUAUGGUGCCAUUGUCUUGUAUCUUGAAAUGCAUGCCCAGGCACGUGAGCAUGACUCCAGCCUACAAGCUGGCCCAAAUCAAGGACACAACCGGCUUCCAAAGAUCCUUAGGAAAUGACUAUGGAUCCCAGGGGAAGAAAUGAGAGACACUUGGAGGGAAAAAAUAUUUCCAAUUGAAAUUAUUAUGUCAAGAACAAAGAGGGAUGCACUAUCUUGAAGUACAAGUUUUCACGCUAUUGGCCAAGUUGGGGCUUUUAAAAGCCAUUUGAACCCUUGGUGGCUUCAAAUGAUUCAGAAAUAAAUUGAAACAUUUGCAAGGGGAAGAAAAAAGAAAGGAGAUUUUAAUUUGAUGGAAAACAUAUCAUAAAAAUAAGAUGUGUCCCAUUGUCACAGGCAAAGCCCAUAAAAAUUCACAGGAAAUAAAAUAGAAUAUGGGUAAUAAAAUAAAAUCUAACUUUU